ACAUUUAAGUGACUCACCUAUGGUGACUCACCUAUGAGACUUCAAUAAAUGCAAUGGCCAAACAUUGUGAAGUAGAAUUUUAAAUUUUAUGAUGUAAAACUGAAAAAACAAGAUAAAAAUUUGACAUUCCGAGUUUUAAUGAGCAGGACUUCACCUGCUGUAUCAGUCAGUAUCUGUAUUGUGUAUGUUUCAUAAACACGCCCUUCUGUUGUACAGCGCUCCAGCAUAUGUUGGCGCUUUAUAAACACUGCAAAAAAAAUGAAGGCUUCAAAGCGUAGCCGUCCUUAUAAAGACGUCACUGUCUCAAUCAUAUCGCGUUUUCUUCCAGGUUCCUUCCCGGCUUCCAUACAGUCCGUGACGUCUCCCCACGCUGUCCUGUGAUUGGCUGAUUUCAAUAGUCCCGUGCUACUUGUAUUGAGAGAGCAGCGCCAGCUGUAGUGGAAGAGAUUGUGAUAGAGGCGCAUUGAGAAGCGGCGGGAGUGGGAGGCUUUAGAUCAAUAUACCGGCAUACAAGAGGGAAGGGGGUCUAAGGCCGAGCUGCAGACGCAGAUGGUCAGCCAUAGUGUGGAUACCGACCAGGAGGGAAGAAGAAAACGGAAGGACUGGCGCCCAUAGGAGAGUGCACAGUUGCACGUCUCCUGCUCUCCCUAGGGGGUGUAAGUAAAAGAAGAUGGGUUAAUGUCUGCCUGCUGCAGCUCAGCUUUAGAUCCCUUCCCACUUGUAUGCCGGUAUACAAGUCUAAAGCCUCCCACUCCUGUCGCUUCUCAAUGCGCCUCUACAGCAAUCCCUUCCACCACAAUAGCAGCAGCUACUGAUGCUUUUUUAAUUGAAGUAGCCCGCUACUAUUGAAAUCAUCCAAUCACAGGACAGCGCAGGGAGACGUCAGGACUGUAUGGAAGCCGGGAAGGAACCUGGAAGAAAACACAAUAUAAUUGAGACAGUGACAUCUUUAUAAGGACGGCAAUGCUUUCAAACCUUGAAAAAAAAAAUUAAAACUUGGGAUUUAAACUCAUUUUAUCAGUUUUUUUUAUUAUUUUUGUUUUUUUUUAGACAAAAUUAGAAUUUAUACCUCGUAAUGUUUCUCGAUUGCAUUUAUUGAAGUCUCAUAGGUGAGUCACUUAAAUGUGACUUUAUGAGCACAAUUUGCAUAAAUUAUAACAAGCAGCAAUUAGUUUGAUGGGCACAGACAGGUCAGCCAUACAGGAACAUGAGGCAACAUGGAAAUCCCUGAUACAAGGAGAGUUAAACACCAGGGGGCAGUACCAGGACUGUCCUUGUAAGUGGCCUGAUCAAUGUGUGAUCUGUUUCUAUCACUUCCCUGUUCUUCCACCAAACCACAUUUUCUAAAAGUGUGAGCUCUACACACACACCCUCCAACGAUGCCCUAGUAGCUCCCCGUCUUUUCUGCUGAUUCACUGCACAUGCUGUCACUUACUGAGCUUAGUUACUGACUCAUAAUAUACUGUAUAUACAGAAUACAAAUGUCACAGUUUAAGCCUAAUUAGUAAUUAAUACAGAUAUUUACUACACAGCAUCUUAGAAACUAGUAGGAAAAAUCCCAACUCCAAAAUUUAAAUCUGCCCACUACUAUCCUUAUGUAUCACCAUAUGAGGUACAUCACUAAACCCAGAUUAUAUACGGAUAUAUUUUAUAAAAUUUUCACAAUCUUUGUGUUAUAUGAAGAUGAUCUGUCUGUAUAAAAACUCCUCUCUGUCUGGAAGAUCUUAAUUUAUUCUGGAAACACAAGAGAAUGAUCUACAUCUGAAAGAACAUAAUUGUGCUAGUAACAUUUAGCACUUUCUGGACUAUUAGUUAUAAUUGCAUUCUGCAGCGGGAUUUCUAUGUACCUUCAAGUAGGUCUGGACUAGAAGUCAGAAUAGGGAAAAUCAUAUCAUACUUACC